CAAUAGCGUAUAUUUAAGUUGCUGCAGGUAAAAAGCUCGUAGUUGGAUUUCGGGUGGGAAUGGCCGGUCCGCCGUUUCGGUGUGCACUUGCUACGCCCACCUUGCUGCCGGGGACGUGCUCUUGAGUUCACGCUCGGGACACGGAGUCGGCGAGGUUACUUUGAGUAAAUUAGAGUGUUCAAAGCAGGCCUACGCUCUGAAUACAUUAGCAUGGAAUAACACGAUAGGACUCUGGCCUAUCUUGUUGGUCUGUAGGACCGGAGUAAUGAUUAAGAGGGACAGUCGGGGGCAUUCGUAUUUCAUUGUCAGAGGUGAAAUUCUUGGAUUUAUGAAAGACGAACUACUGCGAAAGCAUUUGCCAAGGAUGUUUUCAUUAA
rnacentral:rRNA from 1 species